AGAGUUUGAUUCGGGCUCAGGACGAACGCUGGCGGCGUGCCUAAUACAUGCAAGUCGAGCGAAUCUGAGGGAGCUUGCUCCCAAAGAUUAGCGGCGGACGGGUGAGUAACACGUGGGCAACCUGCCUGUAAGACUGGGAUAACUUCGGGAAACCGGAGCUAAUACCGGAUAAUCCUUUUCUACUCAUGUAGAAAAGCUGAAAGAUGGCUCCGGCUAUCACUUACAGAUGGGCCCGCGGCGCAUUAGCUAGUUGGUGAGGUAACGGCUCACCAAGGCGACGAUGCGUAGCCGACCUGAGAGGGUGAUCGGCCACACUGGGACUGAGACACGGCCCAGACUCCUACGGGAGGCAGCAGUAGGGAAUCUUCCGCAAUGGACGAAAGUCUGACGGAGCAACGCCGCGUGAGUGAUGAAGGUUUUCGGAUCGUAAAACUCUGUUGUUAGGGAAGAACAAGUACCGUUCGAAUAGGGCGGUACCUUGACGGUACCUAACCAGAAAGCCACGGCUAACUACGUGCCAGCAGCCGCGGUAAUACGUAGGUGGCAAGCGUUGUCCGGAAUUAUUGGGCGUAAAGCGCGCGCAGGUGGUUUCUUAAGUCUGAUGUGAAAGCCCCCGGCUCAACCGGGGAGGGUCAUGAAACUGGGAGACUUGAGUGCAGAAGAGAAAGUGGAAUUCCAAGUGUAGCGGUGAAAUGCGUAGAGAUUUGGAGGAACACCAGUGGCGAAGGCGACUUUCUGGUCUGUAACUGACACUGAGGCGCGAAAGCGUGGGGAGCGAACAGGUUUAGAUACCCUGGUAGUCCACGCCGUAAACGAUGAGUGCUAAGUGUUAGAGGGUUUCCGCCCUUUAGUGCUGCAGCAAACGCAUUAAGCACUCCGCCUGGGGAGUACGGCCGCAAGGCUGAAACUCAAAGGAAUUGACGGGGGCCCGCACAAGCGGUGGAGCAUGUGGUUUAAUUCGAAGCAACGCGAAGAACCUUACCAGGUCUUGACAUCCUCUGACAAUCCUAGAGAUAGGACGUUCCCCUUCGGGGGACAGAGUGACAGGUGGUGCAUGGUUGUCGUCAGCUCGUGUCGUGAGAUGUUGGGUUAAGUCCCGCAACGAGCGCAACCCUUGAUCUUAGUUGCCAGCAUUCAGUUGGGCACUCUAAGGUGACUGCCGGUGACAAACCGGAGGAAGGUGGGGAUGACGUCAAAUCAUCAUGCCCCUUAUGACCUGGGCUACACACGUGCUACAAUGGAUGGUACAAAGGGCUGCAAGACCGCGAGGUUUAGCCAAUCCCAUAAAACCAUUCUCAGUUCGGAUUGCAGGCUGCAACUCGCCUGCAUGAAGCCGGAAUCGCUAGUAAUCGCGGAUCAGCAUGCCGCGGUGAAUACGUUCCCGGGCCUUGUACACACCGCCCGUCA
rnacentral:rRNA from 1 species